UUAGAUAUUAAAUCAAAGAGUUCGAGCUACGGUCAAAUGAAAAUGAAAGAAGAAAACAGUGCAUGAUCGCAAAUAAAGAAAAUUGCUAGUUUGAAAGCUUUGAUUUCCAAACGAAAGUCUUUCAUUACUAUAUCAUUAUUAUAAACAAUUUUGCGGGGUGAAUUGGGAGUUAAAAGGUUUUAUGGAGAAGCAAUAUUAAUUUCUGCUAACGAAGCCGCGGUGAAAAGCUAGUGGCCGAUAAAAUCAAAUUAAUCUAUUACAAUUGAUGACGCCUAAUGUAUUAUUAUCGGAAAUAAUGCAACAACAAAUGAAUCACGUUUGAAAAUAUAUCAAUUAGACUAAAAUUCCUAAACAAUUACGUUGCAUCAAUAUCUUCUGAAAAUAAUGGGGCUAGGUGGAAAUAAAAAGCUAACUACUUCCCUGUCGAAAAAGUGAUAGUUUUACAUUUAUACGCUUCUGAAAUGUAUUGCUUUUAAUAUUGUGCGAAACACUUUUAAAAAACUCAGUAGCAGUUAUAGACAAUAUUUUAAAUAUUAAUGUGAAAAAGAAAUUCCUCAUUAACUUGAGUUUGUUAUUCUACAAUUGUUCUUUGCAAGUCAUCGACAGUAGGUACAUUGAAAAGAUA